GAUGAAGAACGCAGUGAAAUGCGAUAAGUAAUGUGAAUUGCAGAAUUCAGUGAAUCAUCGAAUCUUUGAACGCACAUUGCGCCCGUCAGUAUUCUGGCGGGCAUGCCUGUUCGAGCGUCAUUACGCCCCUCAAGUCCCCUGUGGACUUGGUGUUGGGGAUCGGCGAGGCUGGUUUUCCAGCACAGCCGUCCCUUAAAUUAAUUGGCGGUCUCGCCGUGGCCCUCCUCUGCGCAGUAGUAAAACACUCGCAACAGGAGCCCGGCGCGGUCCACUGCCGUAAAACCCCCCAACUUUUUAUAGUUGACCUCGAAUCAGGUAGGACUACCCGCUGAACUUAAGCAUAUCGAUAAGCGGAGGA
rnacentral:misc_RNA from 1 species